rnacentral:tRNA from 1 species
GGGCCCGUGGUUCAGUGGCAGAACGCAGCAUUCGCAUUGCUGAGACAGGAGUUCAAUUCUC